rnacentral:rRNA from 1 species
UACGUAGAAGACUAGUGUUAUUCGAUACGUUUAGUAGGUUUAAAGGGUACCUAGACGGUAUAAUUAAUGUCUUAAAUAGGAUACGGUUAUACUAGAGUUAUAUACGAGGAGGUGAGUAUUUAUGGAGUAGAGUUGAAAUUCUUUGAUACCAUAACGGCUAAUAACGGCGAAAGCAACCUUUUACUAAUAACUGACGUUGAGGACGAAGCUCGGUAACGAACAGG